UAGUCCACGCCGUAAACGAUGUUCACUGGUUGCUAGCGAUAUAUUGUUAGUGACUGAGCGAAAGCAUUAAGUGAACCACCUGGGGAGUACGUUCGCAAGAAUGAAACUCAAAGGAAUUGACGGGGGCCCGCACAAGCGGAGGAACAUGUGGUUUAAUUCGAUGAUACGCGAGGAACCUUACCUGGGCUCAAACGCAGAUUGACAGGACAAGAGAUUGUUUUUUCUUCGGACAAUUUGCGAGGUGCUGCAUGGUUGUCGUCAGCUCGUGCCGUGAGGUGUCGGGUUAAGUCCCAUAACGAGCGCAACCCCUAUCAUUAGUUGCCAGCGGAUCAUGCCGGGGACUCUAAUGAGACUGCCACCGUAAGGUGAGAGGAAGGUGGGGAUGACGUCAAAUCAGCACGGGCCCUUACGUCCAGGGGCUACACACGUGUUACAAUGGGCCGGUACAAAGGGGCAGCUACCUAGCGAUAGGGAU
rnacentral:rRNA from 1 species